UUUCCCGAAAUUCAUUGUAUAGGGAAUAUCAGUAACGAUUUUUUUUCUUUUGUGUUGAUUUUAGUUUUUUAUUGCGGUUUGAUAUUACGAUUUGCAUUGAAGACAAGAGUAACUGAAAUUGAAGUUCGGGUUUGAAGGAAUCAAGCCGAACGAAACAUAGGUUAGGGUUUCUCUGCUUUGUUUCGAUUUUUGAAACUCUAAUCUCUUGAUUUAUGAUCAUACGGGCAUGGUUAGGGAUUUAUUUUCUCAGGUACAGUUUUUGCAAAAUUGAAGUUAGGGUUUGAAGGAAAGGGUUUACUGUGUUUGAAUUUGGUAGCGAGUUAGGUUGAUGUUUACAUGUUUUUACUAAUCUGUGGAGCUAUCACUGCAGUGCUUUGCAGCAUUGGUAAAGUUUUGGCUGAUACUUGAUAAAUGGGCACCUUCAAUUAGCACUUGAAAAUUUCCCAAGGAUUUUAUAUAGUAAUCGUUUUGCUUGGAAACACUGGUAAAAUCCUAUUGAUAAUCUUACAUUUGUUCUUUGUUCUUUGUUGCGAAAUAUAACUUCUUUGCCAAUUAAGCUCAUUCAACUUUUUCAAAAUAGGAUAAAGCUGAUGAAUGUAUUAAGAAAAUUUUGAAUUGAAUUCAGAGUUUUCCUUAUCUCAUAUCCUUGGAUGCAUAAUGUCCAUCUUUCAGAUAUCUGCGAAGGUGAGAAGGGACACUAAUUGUUUCGAAGACUCAAGAAAAACUAUUAUUCAGGCAUCUAUAUUUUCUUCUUUAAUUAUGUUCAUUAAUUAUGCUUAUUUUAGGUACCUAAUGGUCUUGAGUUGCAUCAGGGCAUUGGAACAAUGGUGCUUUACAAGAAGGAAACAACAAUCAAUGCCUAACAGAAUCUCCUUUCAUGCCGAAUGUAGAAGAUUUUGAAGAUGUCCAGUUUGAUCUGGAAUUAGUUCACUUUAUUUAGCUACUUCUGAUGAUAUCCUUUAUUCAGGUACUGCAAACUUAUUAUGCCAUCAUAUUUUAUUAUACCGCAGGAAGAUCAGGAGAUGUUUUUUAUGCGAAUUGAGACGAAGUAGUGGUUGGUGCUAUAGCAGUUGUGUCAACUAUUGGAGGUUUUGGAAGUUAUGAGCAAAUGAAAAAUAUAAAUGGUGAGGCGAACGUUUUGGCAGUAGAUGCUGCAAAGGAGUAUGGAAUUCCCAAGUUUGUGCUGAUCUCUGUACAUGACUACAAUCUCCCGCCUUUCUACGGUCUUCUGGAUACUUCACUGGAAAGAGAAGCAAAAUCAGAGGUUCUGUCGAAAUUCCCAAACAACCGUAAUCAAUAAUAUAAACACGCCGUUAUGUGAGUUUGUACAUAAGGGAAUUCCUUCCAUUACAAACUUAUUUUUAGUAUGUACAUUUUGGCGACACCAAAAUUUUCAUUUUCUUGAAACUUCACUUACUAUUAUUAUUACUGUUCACAUUUCUUCUUGCGAACCAUUUUUUUUUUACAAAUGUACAAUUCUGCUCAUACCUGUAGCUCUUCAUGCAAAUCUUUUGGCUUAACAAAGUUUCUCAGGUAUUGUACUAAGACCGGGUUUCAUUUAUGGGAAGCGGAAGGUAGAUGGUUUUGUGAAGUACUUCCAUGCACCGACCGUUAUUUAAGUUGUAACUUUAAUGUUCUGGGUGGUACAUAAGCCAUUUUGCAGCUUAUGUAUCCUUACAUAUUCUGCAGCAUCCUCACGGGGAUAUUUAGUUUACAUGUGGAUCAUUAUUACAUAAGGUGUUUCGACACAAUUUCUUUCGAAACUCC